AUUCACUUCUGCGUUCUCUCUCUCUCUUUUUUCUUAACUUUUUAUUCUUUUCAUAAAUCUUGUUGCCCCAAACUCAGAUUUGUGGAGCCUCUCAGUUUAAAUGACUAAUGGACUAGCUGUAGUUUUUGAGUCCCUAUUCCAAAUUAUUGAAGGAACAAACAAAGUUCUCUGGCUUGCACCCACAGUCCACUCUGGUUUCAGCCAUCUCUAGCCUGGCUCAGCAGGCCUGGAGGGAUGAUGCUGUCGACUCGUAGGCCAUGAGUUCCACUCCUUAAUGGGCAGGUAGGAGCAACUAUGAUGACAAGCUAGGCCCAGAGAAGAGGACAUGAGCCAGGCCAGCACCACAGAGACCCAAGAACUGGAGAAGUUCUUCUUAAGAUUGAACUGAGGUUUUGGAGAAGCACCUGAAGAAAUGAGAAAGGAAAGACGCACACACACAGUUGCCUGGUUGGCCAACUCCGGGUGUCAGAUGGAGACACAGGUGUGGCAGAUUGAUCACCAGCAACCUAUGUAGAAUUGCCAGCUAAGUUUAGCUUCCAGAGGCUGUCUGUAUGGCUGGCUUGUGGUCCCUGCCUCUGUCUUCAAGGUCAGCAAUGGGGAUUCUGAGGAUAAUGCAUGGACGUCUCUGAGGAGGCACUCUUCUGCCCAUCAUGCACUGUGCUGAGGGAAGCCAGAUGACAAGAUAAACAGAUACAUGAAUUGCAUGCAUUUCUGUAUAUAUGUGCAUUUGUAUACAUACAUAACUUCACAUCAAGAAAUGCAUAUUGACAGAAGCAAAGAAAAUGCUGUAAUGGAGAAUAAAAUGGAGAACAAGUCUGUUGGAAGAGGAGACAUCUGUGCUGAGAACUGAAAGAGAAUACAAUCUCUCUUCCAAUUUCUCUUCUCUAAGAAAAUAGCUUUAUGGUUUAUACUCAUAAGAUUGUUUUGAGGAUUGAAUGAUGUGAAUGAUGUAAAUGAUGUAACAAUUUUUACAGAACAUCUAGUAGUAUCACUGAUGAUUCCCCAAUGCUUACAAUAGUUUCUUCACAGCGGUGGCUGCAGAACAGCGGUGGCUGUAGAACAGCGGAUUUUGGUGACCCGCAAAUGCUGCUGCCUGAUCAUUCCUCUGGAAGUUUUGUCUCAGAGGAGUACCCAGCCGUG
rnacentral:lncRNA from 1 species